UCGCUCUGUUACCUUCGGGGGCUGAAUAUGCGUAGCGGGGAGAGUUUGGAUCAGCGAGGGUUCUGCUGCGUUGACUUGGUGUUCUACUUGGUUUACCGUCGGUCUUUGGAGGAGCGCCACUGUAAAGAGGUGGUUCUCGACCGUUAAAGCGGAGGAAACGGGUCAGGCCGGAGACGGAACAACCCACCUUGCGCGGGAAGCCGUUGUAGAAGCACACCGAGGAGUAAGUAAGAUC
rnacentral:SRP_RNA from 1 species